rnacentral:rRNA from 1 species
AUUGAACGCUGGCGGCAGGCUUAACACAUGCAAGUCGAACGAUGACUCUCUAGCUUGCUAGAGAAGAUUAGUGGCGGACGGGUGAGUAACAUUUAGGAAUCUGCCUAGUAGUGGGGGAUAGCUCGGGGAAACUCGAAUUAAUACCGCAUACGACCUACGGGUGAAAGGGGGCGCAAGCUCUUGCUAUUAGAUGAGCCUAAAUCAGAUUAGCUAGUUGGUGGGGUAAAGGCCCACCAAGGCGACGAUCUGUAACUGGUCUGAGAGGAUGAUCAGUCACACCGGAACUGAGACACGGUCCGGACUCCUACGGGAGGCAGCAGUGGGGAAUAUUGGACAAUGGGGGCAACCCUGAUCCAGCCAUGCCGCGUGUGUGAAGAAGGCCUUUUGGUUGUAAAGCACUUUAAGCAGGGAGGAGAGGCUAAUGGUUAAUACCCAUUAGAUUAGACGUUACCUGCAGAAUAAGCACCGGCUAACUCUGUGCCAGCAGCCGCGGUAAUACAGAGGGUGCGAGCGUUAAUCGGAAUUACUGGGCGUAAAGCGAGUGUAGGUGGCUCAUUAAGUCACAUGUGAAAUCCCCGGGCUUAACCUGGGAACUGCAUGUGAUACUGGUGGUGCUAGAAUAUGUGAGAGGGAAGUAGAAUUCCAGGUGUAGCGGUGAAAUGCGUAGAGAUCUGGAGGAAUACCGAUGGCGAAGGCAGCUUCCUGGCAUAAUAUUGACACUGAGAUUCGAAAGCGUGGGUAGCAAACAGGAUUAGAUACCCUGGUAGUCCACGCCGUAAACGAUGUCUACUAGCCGUUGGGGUCCUUGAGACUUUAGUGGCGCAGUUAACGCGAUAAGUAGACCGCCUGGGGAGUACGGCCGCAAGGUUAAAACUCAAAUGAAUUGACGGGGGCCCGCACAAGCGGUGGAGCAUGUGGUUUAAUUCGAUGCAACGCGAAGAACCUUACCUGGUCUUGACAUAGUGAGAAUCCUGCAGAGAUGCGGGAGUGCCUUCGGGAAUUCACAUACAGGUGCUACAUGGCUGUCGUCAGCUCGUGUCGUGAGAUGUUGGGUUAAGUCCCGCAACGAGCGCAACCCUUUUCCUUAUUUGCCAGCGGGUUAAGCCGGGAACUUUAAGGAUACUGCCAGUGACAAACUGGAGGAAGGCGGGGACGACGUCAAGUCAUCAUGGCCCUUACGACCAGGGCUACACACGUGCUACAAUGGUAGGUACAGAGGGUUGCUACACAGCGAUGUGAUGCUAAUCUCAAAAAGCCUAUCGUAGUCCGGAUUGGAGUCUGCAACUCGACUCCAUGAAGUCGGAAUCGCUAGUAAUCGCAGAUCAGAAUGCUACGGUGAAUACGUUCCCGGGUCU